rnacentral:rRNA from 1 species
UACGUAGGGUGCAAGCGUUGUCCGGAAUUAUUGGGCGUAAAGAGCUCGUAGGCGGUCUGUCGCGUCGGCUGUGAAAACCCGGAGCUCAACUCCGGGCCUGCAGUCGAUACGGGCAGACUGGAGUUCGGCAGGGGAGACUGGAAUUCCUGGUGUAGCGGUGAAAUGCGCAGAUAUCAGGAGGAACACCGGUGGCGAAGGCGGGUCUCUGGGCCGAUACUGACGCUGAGGAGCGAAAGCGUGGGGAGCGGACAGG